rnacentral:rRNA from 1 species
UCUACGGGAGGCAGCAGUAGGGAAUAUUGCUCAAUGGGGGAAACCCUGAAGCAGCAACGCCGCGUGGAGGAUGAAGGUUUUCGGAUUGUAAACUCCUUUUGUUAGAGAAGAUAAUGACGGUAUCUAACGAAUAAGCACCGGCUAACUCCGUGCCAGCAGCCGCGGUAAUACGGGGGGUGCAAGCGUUACUCGGAAGCACUGGGCGUAAAGAGAGCGUAGGCGGGUGAUCAAGUCAGAUGUGAAAGCCUAUGGUUCAACCAUGGAGCUGCAUUUGAAACUGUUAUUCUAGAGUAUGGUAGAGGUAGGUGGAAUUCUUGGUGUAGGGGUAAAAUGCGUAGAGAUCAAGAGGAAUACU